CUCAGAGAUAGAACUGCUGAACCACUUUCCAGUCAGUUCUUCUCAGAGCAAAAGCGGGAAACAAACAUGACACUUUGGCUUCAAUUUGUUUUUGUUUCAGCAGUUUUGGGAGGUGUCCAAUCAGCAGUCCAGCUGGUAGAGUCUGGAGGGGAUUUCAAAAGGCCUGGAGAGUCCCUCCGUCUCUCCUGUCGAGCCUCCGGGUUCAACUUUGGGGGCUAUACCAUGAUCUGGGUACGACAGGCUCCUGGAAAGGGACUGGAAUGGUUGGCAUGGAUACGCUAUGAUAGUGGAGAAAUAUACUAUGACAACUCUGUGAAAGGGCGCUUCACCAUCUCCAGAGACAACCCUUCAAACAUGCUGUAUCUACAAAUGAGCACUCUGAAACCAGAGGACUCAGCUGUUUAUUACUGUGCAAGAGACACAGUGAAAGGAAGUGAAUCUGAAGCCAGACAAAAACCUUCCUUUGCCAGCUGUCUGGACUGGUUCAGCUAA